UACAGAGGUCCCAAGCGUUGUUCGGAUUCAUUGGGCGUAAAGGGUGCGUAGGUGGUGCCGUAAGUUGGAUGUGAAAUCCCGGAGCUCAACUCCGGAACUGCAUUCAAUACUGCGGUGCUAGAGUACUGGAGAGGAGAUUGGAAUUCACGGUGUAGCAGUGAAAUGCGUAGAUAUCGUGAGGAAGACCAGUGGCGAAGGCGGAUCUCUGGACAGUUACUGACGCUGAGGCACGAAGGCCAGGGGAGCAAACGGG
rnacentral:rRNA from 1 species